GUUGGCAACUUUAUUUUUAAGAGUUCACAGGGUUCGGAUCAGGAGCACGACAAACUCUUUUUUUUCAGCUAAGGUAGUAAAAUAAUGCCAUCCGAACCAAUUUAGAACAAAUGUAAAAGUUAGGUAGUUACUACUUAAUUACUUUCAACUUAUUUUAUUUUCAGAUAGAAUAGAAUUUUUUUAUCACGAAUAAUCAAUUAUGAAAACUUAUUGUCAUAUAAUUUUUUCAUUUCUAAUUGUAUCUGCCACGUUUUCCGCUAUACCAAAACCUCAUAGAGAAUUAAAUAAAAUUUUAGAAAAGAAACUGAGUGAUAUUGAUCAUGGAGCUGGUGAACUUCACAAUUCCGAGUUCGAUCAUGAAGCUUUCUUAGGAAGGAAUGAGGCUAAAGACUUUGAAAAUUUAUCACCAACAGAAAGCAAAGAAAAACUGGGGAAAAUUUAUGAUAAAAUCGAUAAGGAUGGUGAUGGCUUUGUUACUGAACGAGAACUACGUACUUGGAUACAAUACGUACAAACUCGAUAUACCUCCACAGACACUGAUAACCAUUGGAAAGACUUUAAAAACGAUUUACAAGAUAAUUUGUUAAACUUUGAAAGUUAUAAAAGAAUAACUUACGGACCAGGUAGCGAAACUGAAGAAGAUGAUGAAAGUGUCAAAAAUCUUAUUAAAAGAGAUGAAAGAAGGUGGAAUAAGGCUGAUUUAAAUAAUGAUAGUUUGUUAAGUAGAGAAGAAUUUGUGUACUUUCUACAUCCGGAAGACGCAGAAUAUAUGAGAGAUGUUGUUGUUGAUGAAACUAUUGAGGACAUUGAUAGAAAUGGUGAUGGUAAAAUAGAUAUUGAAGAGUUUAUAAGAGAUUUAUGGCGUGAAGAGGACGAAGAAGGGGAUGGAAGUGAACCAUCGUGGAUUAAGGAAGAAAGGGAUCAGUUUAUAAAUUAUAGAGAUAAGAAUAAAGACGGUUUUAUGGAUCGUGACGAAGUAAAAGAUUGGAUAAUACCUGAAGAUUACGAUCAUUCUGAUUCAGAAGCCAAACAUUUAAUUCAAGAAGCGGAUAUUAGUAAGGACGGGAAAUUAACCAAAGACGAAGUGUUAGAAAAGUACGACCUAUUUGUUGGAAGUCAAGCAACUGACUUUGGAGAAGCAUUAGGAAGACACGAUGAGUUUUAAGCAUAUCUUUCAUUUCCCUUACGUUUUGUCUUGUUUGCUUCUUUUUUUACUUCAAUAUUUAAGAACAAUCUUUGACUUAGUUUUUCCCGCCGAUUUCUCUAAAUUAUACAAACUGAAUGAAUUUUUGGUAGAAUAGGUAAAAAAAAUAACAGAGAAAAGAGCAAACAAAAAAACUAUGUUGGUGCUUUUAGUUUCAACGAAGAAGAAACUUGAAAAAAAUUGAAGUUUCUCCUUAUCAGUAUUAGUAUAUUUUUUAUAAAUACAUUGAAUAUUAACUAAAAAUAUCAAAAUAUUCUAAAUUUCUUCUCAUUUUAAGAUGAAAAUAAUUGCGAUUGUUAUUCCCAUUCGCAAAAAAACAC
rnacentral:misc_RNA from 1 species